rnacentral:rRNA from 1 species
UACGAAGGGUGCAAGCGUUGUUCGGAAUUACUGGGCGUAAAGGGCUCGUAGGCGGCCAACUAAGUCGGAUGUGAAAUCCCCAGGCUUAACCUGGGAACUGCAUCCGAUACUGGAUGGCUUGAAUCCGGGAGAGGGAUGCAGAAUUCCAGGUGUAGCGGUGAAAUGCGUAGAUAUCUGGAGGAAUACCGGUGGCGAAGGCGGCAUCCUGGACCGGCAUUGACGCUGAGUGAGCGAAAGCGUGGGGAGCAAACAGG